AUUGAACGCUGGCGGCAGGCCUAACACAUGCAAGUCGCGCGGAGAGGCGGACGGGUGAGUAAUGCCUAGGAAUCUGCCUGGUAGUGGGGGAUAACGUCCGGAAACGGGCGCUAAUACCGCAUACUAUUAGAUGAGCCUAGGUGGGAUGUGCUAGUUGGUAGGGUAAAGGCCUACCAAGGCGACGCUCCGUAACUGGACUGAGAGGAUGAUCAGUCACACGGUAACUGAGACACGGUCCAGACGACUACGGGAGGCAGCAGAGGGGAAUAUUGGACAAUGGGCGAAAGCCUGAUCCAGCCAUGCCGCGUGUAAGAAGAAGGUCUUCGGAUUGUAAAGCACUUUAAGUUGGGAGGCGUGACCAACAGAAUAAGCACCGGCUAACGUCGUGCCAGCAGCCGCGGUAAUAC
rnacentral:rRNA from 1 species